rnacentral:rRNA from 1 species
GACGAACGCUGGCGGCGUGCUUAACACAUGCAAGUCGAACGGGAUGAUCUUAAAGCUUGCUUUUAGAGAAUCUAGUGGCAAACGGGUGAGUAACACGUAGACAACCUGCCGACAGGAUGGGGACAACAUUCCGAAAGGAAUGCUAAUACCGAAUGAAGCGGAGGAGAGGCAUCUCUCCUCCGUGAAAGAUGGCCUCUUUUUAUGCUAUCACCUGUCGAUGGGUCUGCGUCUGAUUAGCUGGUUGGUGAGGUAACGGCUCACCAAGGCGACGAUCAGUAGCCGGUCUGAGAGGAUGAACGGCCACAUUGGGACUGAGACACGGCCCAGACUCCUACGGGAGGCAGCAGUGGGGAAUCUUCCGCAAUGGGCGCAAGCCUGACGGAGCAACGCCGCGUGAGUGAAGAAGGUCUUCGGAUCGUAAAGCUCUGUUGACGGGGACGAACGUGCGAGAGGUGAAUAAACUCUUGCAAUGACGGUACCUGUCGAGGAAGCCACGGCUA